AUCUCUUUUACGUCCCUCACACCUUGCUCUUCCCUCACCUCUACAAAAGCGUACCGUUCCUGGACCUAACCCACUUUGUCCUCCGGUCGACUGUAGGGAGCUAUUUCAGAUCCGAUUCCCCUUCUCAAAUAUCACCAAUCCUGAAUGCAGGUUAUACUCCAUCAAUUGCAACAAUGUCAGAAAACCAACCAUCCAAUUUGAGGAUCUGGGGAGGUCGUACGUAGUCAAAGAUAUCUUGUAUCGUGAAAGGACGAUUGUAAUUCAAGACGAGGGAUUCUACAAUCACUCGCAGUCCGACUUAUGUUGUGAAGGCCGCAUUCUCUAAUAUUGGCCAGAGGAUCUACAACUUCAUUAUCUACCACCUCUUCAACAGCAUGAUUGUUUGGUCACUCAUUUUCCAUUACCUCUACCGGAGCUCGACCCAAAUGUGCCGAAGGACCUCUUUAGUCCAUUGGGAUUGGGUUUCCAUCUUCAAUGGACUCGGACCCAAGAAUGCAUUCCAUGUUACGAAAGAAGAGGAGGCUUUUGUAGUCGACACAAUUCUACCAGGGACUACAUUUGUUCAGACCCAACUAAUCCCCAUGGUAAUUACUUAUAUAUAUAAA